rnacentral:rRNA from 1 species
AUGGUUAACACCAUGUUAGACACAUCGGGUCUUUCCAAGGAAUGGUGGGGGGAGGCACUAAUGACUGCGUGUCAUGUCCUAAACCGAGUUCCCACAAAGCAUAAGACCAUGACUCCAUUUGAGGAAUGGGAAAGGAAAAGAUUGAAACUCUCUUACCUACGUACUUGGGGUUGUUUGGCGAAGGUCAAUAUACCAAUUUCCAAGAAGCGCAAGCUUGGACCAAAAACCGUGGAUUGUGUUCUUCUGGGCUAUGCUUUUCAUAGCAUCGGCUAUAGAUUUUUGAUAAUAAAAUAUGAGGUAUCCGACAUGCAUGUUGGUACGAUUAUGGAGUCGAAUGAUGCAAUUUUCUUUGAGGACAUAUUUCCUAUGAAGGAUAUGUCGAGUUCAUCAAAUCAGGAGAUACCUACUCCAUCUAGUUAG